UACAGGGGGAGUGUCCUUUGAGCACAUCCCUCCCAUAAGACCCUCAGUCAUAUUAGAAACGUCCUGAGCCCCAGCAGGUCUGGGGUGGCCCAAGCCUCUGACUUCCCUGAGAUUUGCUGUGGAUUGGCCUGGGUUUUACUGCUCUCUUCUCCUCUCGCCCUUCCUGCAGCCCUGAUGCGGAGUUCUGUGGCUACUGUAUCACACACCCCUCUGAAAGCAAGAUCAGCUUCCGGAUCCAGACCAGAGGGGCCCUUCCUGCUGUUGAGCCAUGCCAGAAAGGAAUGAAUGACCUGAUGGGUGUUUGCUAACAUGUACUCAACACCUUUGAGAGGAGCAUGAAGGAGUACAGGGCCCAGAGGAGGAAGAGAUACAGUAGCAUUUGGGGAUGGCAG